ACACGAACUGCGCGAACGUUAUUCGGAAUCACUGGGCUUAAAGAGUCCGUAGGCGGCUCGGUAGGUGGGGUGUGAAAGCCCACGGCUCAACCGUGGAAUUGCGCUCCAAACCACCGAGCUAGAGGGAGAUAGAGGAGAGCGGAACUGAUGGUGGAGCGGUGAAAUGCGUUGAUAUCAUCAGGAACACCGGUGGCGAAAGCGGCUCUCUGGGUCUCUCCUGAGGCUGAGGGACGAAAGCUAGGGGAGCGAACGGGAUUAGAUACCCCUGUAGUCC
rnacentral:rRNA from 1 species